rnacentral:antisense_RNA from 1 species
GGGCUGCAGGGCUGCGGGCGCUUGGUUCGGCCUGGCCCGGCCGGCGGCUCCUAACACCGGGCGGGCGGCUGCGGCGGCACUUCCGGGUUGCCCUUCUCCAUGUUGGUCUCGGGAACGUGACGGGGCGGGGCCUCGAGGUCAGGGGUCAGCGCCUCCCUGGUUGCCGUGGCGACUGGAGGCGCGCGACGCGGGCGCAAUGGCGGGGACCGGGGGCUUGAUGCUGCUUGGGCCUGGCCCAGUGGCGGGUCCUAGGGACGUGGGUACCUGCAGAGGCCGGCAGAUGGAGAUUCAGAAACAUAAGGACAACAAGAAACUUCCCCAAGGUAUCAUUAUAGUCUUUAGACUUCAGACACACACCACACCUCAAAUAUAUACACAACUGAAAGGAAAAUUAAGGAAGUUUUUCAAAGAACCCUAUUCCGAGUAAGAAAUGUGUUGCAUGAAUUUCUAAGAGCCAGAAAAUGCAUGACACAGGAGAAGAUGCACCCUCAUCUGUUCAGUGAGAGAUGUGCAAAUCAACAUCAACACAGAACUGCUGAAGAAAAAAAAUGUCUCUGAAAAGCAACUUAUUCACUGGAGAUGUGAGGAGCCAUCCACACAUCACAAUUCUAUAGACAUCAAACGCAUGAAGCAUUUCGGAUCUGCUUUAAGACUGAGGCAGACUUUCCAUCUGGACACAGCCGACCAUCCAUGUGUCAUUACAAUGAAUCCAGCACUUCCCUGGAAGCUGGAAGGGUCAAAUUCAACUUCAGCUCUGCCACUUGCUGCUUAACUUGCUGUUUAACCUUGGGCAAGCUGCCAUCCCACACGAGGCCGAAGGUGUCGGUUUUUAAAAUACAGAAAUUGGGUUCCAUGAGGGAUUAUCAAUAUACUGCUGGUGGGCCAAAUUCCAUCUGCUACUUGCCUUUGUAAAUAAAGUUUUAUUGAAACACAAACAUGCCCAUUAGUUUACUCUUGUCUAUGACUGCAAGGGCAAAGUUGAAUAGUUGUUACAGAGACCAUCAGGCUCACAAAGCCUAGGUUAUUUACUAUCUGCCCAUUUACAGAGUAAGUUUGCCAGCCCUGGACUGGAUAAUUUUUUGAGUUCUUUCUAAUUCUAGAAUUCUUUAUAUAUUUUAUGAAACCCCUAAUGUUUAUAUAUUAAUUAUUUCAAUACCCGUGUCUUUACUGAGUCCCUCCUAUGAAGCAUAGAUCAAGAUAUAUGUGUGAUACAUUAACUAAACUUUUAACAGUAUCUUAAAUAGGAUUUCAAUGACUAACAGCUCUUGGAAAUAUCCAAGGUAACAUUUGGGGGCAAAUGUCUUAUGAUUUGAUUAUCAUUGGUAAAUACAGGAUAUCUUUUUUUCCACUGACAAUGUUUAAGAAGUUAAAAAAAAAAUCAAGAAAACCCCGUAUGGCACUAGAGACUUAUUGCAUUAAGACAUCAUCUUAACAGAUUGUUUAGUUUUGGUAAUAUAAUUUGACAUCUAAACAUAAGCUGAGAGGGAUCUCCCUCAAAACCUUUGAUAAUAUGAUUCAUUGUCAAAUGUUUGUUUUGCCUAUCUGGCACUCAUUAAUUAAUUCUUUUUAAUAUAGCUUGGAUUUACUGAUUUUGAAAAAGAGAAUUAUUCUUAUUGAUGUUGCUAAAAUAUCCAGGUGGCUUGAAUUUCACCAACUAGAUAGUUUAAUCUAGCACAUUUGUGUAGCCCUAAUCAAAUCUUUACUAACAGAUGUGAGAAGCCCAGUACUGGAGCUAAUGUUUGUGUCUCAAUGAUAAUUAAAUUAGCUUAAUAAGGAAAAUAAAUGAACAAUAAUCACCAAAAUUUUUCCCUAAACCUGUGUUAUAGUCUUAAAAACAUUUUUUCCCCUAUGGAGGCUUUUGGUAAUAAAACACAAAUUGAGGGAUUUUAAUUAAAAGAAAUUUUUUUUUCAAGAACUGGUCAUGUACUAAAUUGCUUAUAAUCAAAUAAUCAAGUAGCAUUUCUUUUAUUAUAAGAGCAAAACCUAUAAUUAAGCCAAAAUUCAAAUUUGUUUUCAAAGGUUGAAUAAUCUUUUGUUUUGGCCAAUAGUAUGUGGAUUUUUUUUUUUUAAGUAUUAUCUCUUCGUAGUAUUUUCUAAUGGGUAGGAAAUGCCUUUCUCAGGUUGAAUGAUUAUUUCCACAUAGAAUUAGUUCCUGCUUACAACAGUGCUCCACUAAUGUAAUGGCUCAGUGAAUUGGCUUUAUAAUUCAUUAAUCAUAGCUCACAUUGAGCUUUUGGCUCCAGGUGACAGUGCCCACCACAGGCCAAAUAACUUCUCAUUUAAAGGCAAUUUGUACAAAUAGGGAAGGUGAGCAUUCUCACAGUCCCAGAGGGAUUGAAGAGUUUUAAAAAACCAAGAUAAGACAUUUUAUGGAAGACAGGUUGAUGGAAGAAAAGUGGCCAUUGGAGGAUGAGGCAGAUGGCUUUCGAGGGAGGCCCUGGAGCUGCCGCCAUGGGGAAGGCCAUGUUGCAGCUGCUGAUCAGAGCACAUUGGACGGUGUUUCCGUGUGAACAUGAAGACAAUGCUGCCUCUGUUUCUGUGACGCUGUGCUCUGUUCUUGCUGAAGGCGAAGUGGUGUCAGCUGUGCUUACAGGACAGUCAGUGGUGGUAGAAAAGAGGCCAGUGUGACCUGCGAAGGACUGGGCCCCUCUCACUCAACCUGAGUGCCUGCAGGUGUGGCCACCUUUAUUUGUGUAUUCUACUGUAUUUAUUUAUUUGCCUGGCUAAUUAGCUCUGUGCCACAUUCCUAAGCUAGAUGUGUCCCUUCGUGUAAGUGAGAGGGAGACAGAAAGAAAGACUGAGGUGGGGGGUAGGAGAAAGAGAGGAAAGCAAGCAAGAAGAAAGAGAAAGAAGGAGAAAGGAAGAGGAAAGAAAGAGAGAGAGAGAAAGAGAAGGAAGGAAGGAGAAAGAAAGAGAAGGAAAGAAGGAGCCUUCGAAUUUUAUUUCAUUUCUCCAAUAAAUGUUCCUAUAUUAAGACUUUAGACAAAGAUUAGAAAUAUGAUUUGACAGAAAGUGUAUGGAUGUAUUGUUCUAUUGCAUUGUAAGUAAAGUAUCCAUGGCAAUAUACAAAUAAUACAGCUCCUACCGCUAUUCUCUGUUGUUACUUUCAUGUGUUGUCUUAACUUUUUAAAUUUCAAGAUAAUAUUGCGCUUAUUUAUUUUUCCAUGAGGAGGCCUAGGAUUUAGCUUGAUUAGAAAAACUGUGGGAAAUGAAUGUGCUAAUUACUUUAAAUCAAAUUGAAAAUAAAUUUUAUCCUGUUUCAUGCAAAACA